GAAACAACCUCAUUAGGAAAACAUACUCGAUGAAUUCAGACAAGGUUCUCUGCUUAGUUGAACUGUUAAGAAGACUUAAUGUCCAGUCUGGAACAACUCUCGGACGUGGACCCGACAGACCUGGUCAUGGCGAAGACAAGAGCCAAGAGGGGACCGAAAAAACUGACCUCCUGAGUAAGGGACAGGCCCCCUCAGUAAGGGACAAGCCGACUGCUCCUCAACAGGACCCACUGGCAACGAGCGUAGAAAGACCCGUGCAUGCAGUGGCAAUGCCGGACGUGGAAACAAUCCCGGACCCAUCAACAGUGACCGGCAAGGAGCUGCCGCCGACCGAGGAAUUGUCCGAAAAAGUGAUUGAGCCCAACGAACCACCUCCAAAAUCACUUCAGAAUGAAGUUUCUGAGCUCUCAAAUCAUAUCAUGUCCCUUAAAGGAGUUGUAGAGGCAUUGGACAAGAAGAUGGACAGUCUCAUGGCGUUUAUGAAAACUCAACCCGACGUGACAGAAGUUAUCGGAGAUAUAGUCAAAGUCAACUCCAACAUUGUUGCUGUCGGAAAGAUUGUUGAUACCUUCACAGCUAAGUUUGGUGAUCUGGAAAAAGUGGUUUCUAAGCAAGGUGUUACUCUUGAAAAGAUUUCUGAAAAAAUGGACUUAAGAUCUGCUGUCCACACUCCUGAAGCACCAAUGGCCGCACCCAGCGCGCCGCCAGUCACAGCUCUCUAUCCAGAGUUACCUGACAAAGCAUCAAGUGGGGGGACUCCCAGAACUCCCUUUUAAGAGGUCUCUACUUCGAUUUAAAAAAAAAAAAAAAGGGAAGAACGAACUUAUGAGGCAGGCGAGGAUAAGGAAAUGGGUCGGACUCGACGCCUAGCUGGAAUUUCGGGGAGAAAAAGCGGGAAACACAAAGACUUUUGAUUCUGAUGAAAGAAUAAUGAUAAAUAAUACAUAAGCGCACCAACAUCCCUGUUCUAUUGAUUCUUUUUAUUUUUCUUAUAUGUAUCCAUUUCAUGUAUUCGUAACUGUGUUUAUACUUAUACCUAUUAUCUUGUAAGCGAUUGACAAAUCAAAUAAAUAAAUAAAGUCAGGCUGCGGAAAAGCCA
rnacentral:lncRNA from 1 species